rnacentral:rRNA from 1 species
CCCUUAGAUGUUCUGGGCUGCACGCGCGCUACACUGAUGCGAUCAACAAGUUUUUCCUAUGUCGAUAGACACGGGUAAUCUUUUGAACUCGCAUCGUGAUGGGGAUAGAUUAUUGUAAUUAUUAAUCUUCAACGAGGAAUUCCUAGUAGGUGCAAAUCAUCAGUUUGCAUCGAUUACGUCCCUGCCCUUUGUACGCACCGCCCGUCGCUGCUACCGAUUGGUUGAUCUGGUGAAUUAUUCGGACUGCCGGCUGAAGGGGUUUCCUCAUCUGCCAGCGGAAAGUCUUGUUAACCCUAUCAACUAGAGGAAGCAGAAGUCGUAACA